UAGCUCAGUCAGUUGAGUGUGGCGCUACCAACGCUAAGGUCGCGGGUUUGAUUCCCGC
rnacentral:tRNA from 1 species